GACGAACCGUACAAACGUUAUUCGGAAUCACUGGGCGUAAAGGGUGCGUAGGCGGGUCUUUAAGUCAGGGGUGAAAUCCUGGAGCUCAACUCCAGAACUGCCUUUGAUACUGAAGAUCUUGAGUUCGGGAGAGGUGAGUGGAACUGCGAGUGUAGAGGUGAAAUUCGUAGAUAUUCGCAAGAACACCAGUGGCGAAGGCGGCUCACUGGCUCGUAACUGACGCUCAUGCACGACAGCGUGGGGAUCAAACAGG
rnacentral:rRNA from 1 species